rnacentral:lncRNA from 1 species
UCUUAACGAUCACCACACCUUGAUUUUUCCUGGACCAAUAGAAAGAAGUGACCGUCUUUUUCACUGCUUCGGGAGCAAAUGGAUAACAUUUUGAAAGACUGUAGCAUUAGACUCAUCUGGGGCAUGAGCUGUUGGCUACAAUGAAAGACACUACAAGUUUCUUAGGCUGUGGUUGGAAAAGUCUUUGAGCAUCUAAUAGCAAGUAAGGUUCUCCCUGAUGAUUGACUGGCUCACUGCAGACAGCCUGAGAAGUUAAGAAAUGUACUUUUGAUCUUUUUGUAACAUCAGCGAAAUGAAAUUAGCGGGAAUAGUUUUAACUUCACAAUUUGCUGGAAGACAAAGGAAACAACAACCACCAAUUGGAAAGAGCCCUGCUGCUCUUCAGGACAUGCAGGAAUUAGUAGACAGAAGUGGAAGAAACUUUUUUUUUUCCUCUGACAGGACAACUGGAUCAGAGACUGAAGCAGGGAAAGUACGGAAGAGGUAUCUAUCUUUAUCCCAGAGCACUAAGGGAGAUGAUUCUUUGUUCUUGGUUGUUUUGUUUUCUGUAAUUAGAAUAUAUUUCUCAGUCUGGAUGCUUUCAAGUUGUAAGUGGCUCGGGAUGCACAUAGCAAAUUAUUAUGCUGCUGGUCUAUAUGAGAAGCUUUAUGAGCCAUUCUAUAUCCUGAUUUGUUAA